rnacentral:rRNA from 1 species
CCAUUUGCCUCUUAAUUAGAGGCUAGUAUGAAUGGUUGAACGAAAUACGUACUGUCUCAUUCUAAAAAUUUUAAAAAUUUAGCUUUCUAGUUAAAAGGCUUGAAUAGUAUUAGAGGACGAGAAGACCCUAUAGAACUUUAUAGAAUAAUUUAUUAAUUUAAAUAGUAAAAAAUUUUUUAUUUAUAAAUAGUUUUAUUUUGUUGGGGUGACAGGGAAAUAAACCAAACUUUUUUAAUUUUAAAACAUUGAUUUAUGAAUAUUUGAUCUAUUAUUAGUGAUUAUUAGAAUAAGUUACCUUAGGGAUAACAGCGUAAUUUUAUUAGAGAGUUCAAAUCGAUAAUAAAGUUUGCGACCUCGAUGUUGAAUUAAAGAAAUUUUAGAGUGCAGAAGCUUUAAGUAAUAGGUCCUG